rnacentral:lncRNA from 1 species
UGGUCACAGCUUCGUGACCCUCCACCUCCUUGUUGCAACCCUAAUCCAUCAUCUGCUGCCAUACGUUCAACUUUCAGCGCUUAUCCAACUGUGAGAAAAUUUUGAUAAUAUCAAAUUUCCACAGUUCAUCAACCUCGAUUGAAGCUCGUCUUGGUUUGCCGUUUAUGCCAUCAUUCUCCAUUGAGGCACUCAAGCAGCUUUCUUUGCCCCUUCAAAUGUACUUUCUCUCUCCGAUGAGAAAGAAGAUAUAAAGAAGGCUAUAAGACCGUGGGAGAUGAAAGAUGAAGAGGUGGAAUUCUUUAGGGAAAAUUUGCUGGCACUCAAGCAGUACGAGCUGUCAAGGCAGAAACAAUUGAAGAACUCGAAAGUUGCAGCUUCAGGUUCUUGUUAGACACUUAGACAUCUAUGUUGUUGGAGGGAUUUGAUGGUAAAUAACUUACUCUGUAGAUAAAGGGAUUUUCGGGUGGUUGGUGGCGUGUUGGGUAACAAAUCUAAACGGGUCUGGGUUAUCCGAGCAGUUCUUUGGUUCAGGACAAAAUUGUUUAGGUCGAGUUGACCCAAAACACUUAUUUUGUUGAAAAAUAUGGGUGUGAAAUGGUGAAAAUGUGUUUGAAAGUAUAGUUUCAGUCCAAUACUUUUUUAAGAAACAAACUUUUAAAUCAAGUUGGUAUUUUGUAUUAAAGGAAACAAUUUUUUUUUACUAAAAGUAGCUUUUUUAAAUGCAAUUAAUCAUUUGAUGAAGCUGCAAAUUAUAACUUUAUUUCAGCGACAUGGGGUGAGGUUACGGCUGGUGAGUUAAAUAUGUUGAGGGAGGGGUAGGAUUAUUGGUAUGAAGUUGCUGGUUAGUAUGAAUCUUUUAAGCAUGGGUUCCGUUUGGUUUGGUUUUAGUUUCCAGCAGUUUAGUUUCGGAAUAAACCAUAAACACCCUAGUGGGUAUAGUUAGUUGUAUUUUGUUGCAGGUUAGAUGUGCUAAUAGGUUGCUGAUUGGGGCUGCUAUGGGGAGAAUAGAGGCCAAGACGACUAGGAAGCUGAAGAGAAGAUUAAUGUCUUGUUUUUAUGAGUUUGGUUUAUUUUUUUAUUAUUGUUUCUUUGUUUGGUUUCUUUUAAGAGGUUAAUGGUUCUGGUUCUACCCCUCUUGUAAGGUAAAAGGAAUGUACCAUAUGGACCAAUGUUUUAUGAAUGGGUCGAUUUGGGUUAUUUUUUCUGUAACGGUUCAAAUGUAUUCUUUGUACUUUAUGAAUGUGUCGGUUUGGGUUAUUAUU